CCGAGUUCAUGCCCUCACGGGUAGAUCUCCCACCCUAUGUUAUUAUUACCUCUGUUGCUUUGGCGGGCCGUCAGGCUUCGGUCAGGCUACCGGCUCCGGCUGGUAUGCGCCCGCCAGAGGACCCCAAACUCUGUUUAUUAGUGUCGUCUGAGUACUAUAAUAUAAUAGUUA
rnacentral:misc_RNA from 1 species